CAGGACUGGCUCUAACUGGUUGGGGGGGUACUAAGAGCUUCUAGAACUUUCAUGUGUGUAAGAAUUACCUGGGAUAUUGUUAAAAUGCAGAUUCUGAUUGAAUAGCAGUAACAGGUCGCUAGCUCCUGGCUUACGCUGAAAACUAAUGCUAUGCUGUAGGACUGGUUACCCAAGAUCUCUAAGUUUAGUUUCCACCUGCAAAAUGGUGAUAUCAGUAGCUCCCCAGCUCACCCGGGAGGAAUGGCUGUUGGAAUUGUACAAGGUCAUCUGUGAAAGUGCUUCAUGAACAAUUGAACACCAUGCAAAUGCAAAUUGCCAUUACUGGUCAAGGGAGAGACCUUUCUAGCACCCUCGAAGCCAUCUUCAGGCCUCCUUCUGAUCACACUCCUUCUCAUCAAAGGCACACAGGGAGAGAGAGAGAGGCAGAGACACAGGCAGAGGGAGAAGCAGGC